GACGAACGCGGGCGGCGUGCUUAACACAUGCAAGUCGAACGCUGAAGCUCAGCUUUUGUUGGGUGGAUGAGUGGCGAACGGGUGAGUAACACGUGAGUAACCUGCCCUCUUCUUUGGGAUAACGCCCGGAAACGGGUGCUAAUACUGGAUAUUCACUGGCCUUCGCAUGGGGGCUGGUGGAAAGGUUUGUUCUGGUGGGGGAUGGGCUCGCGGCCUAUCAGCUUGUUGGUGGGGUGAUGGCCUACCAAGGCUUUGACGGGUAGCCGGCCUGAGAGGGUGACCGGUCACAUUGGGACUGAGAUACGGCCCAGACUCCUACGGGAGGCAGCAGUGGGGAAUAUUGCACAAUGGGCGAAAGCCUGAUGCAGCGACGCCGCGUGAGGGAUGGAGGCCUUCGGGUUGUAAACCUCUUUCGCUCAUGGUCAAGCCGCAACUGUGGGUUGUGGUGAGGGUAGUGGGUAAAGAAGCGCCGGCUAACUACGUGCCAGCAGCCGCGGUAAUACGUAGGGCGCGAGCGUUGUCCGGAAUUAUUGGGCGUAAAGGGCUUGUAGGCGGUUGGUCGCGUCUGCCGUGAAAUUCUCUGGCUUAACUGGGGGCGUGCGGUGGGUACGGGCUGACUUGAGUGCGGUAGGGGAGACUGGAACUCCUGGUGUAGCGGUGGAAUGCGCAGAUAUCAGGAAGAACACCGGUGGCGAAGGCGGGUCUCUGGGCCGUUACUGACGCUGAGGAGCGAAAGCGUGGGGAGCGAACAGG
rnacentral:rRNA from 1 species